rnacentral:tRNA from 2 species
GCCGCUGUGGUGGAAUAGGCAGACGCAAGGGACUUAAAAUCCCUCGGGUGAAAGCCCGUACCGGUUCAAGUCCGGUCAGCGGCACCA